GAUUACCAAACCAAUAACAAUGACCAGGCAGUAGUUGAAAUCUGUAUCACAAGAAUCACAACAGCCAUCAGAGAGACCGAGUCCAUUGAAAAGCAUGCAAAGGCCCUUGUGGGGCUCUGGGACUCCUGCUUGGAACAUAACCUGAGACCCUUUGGGAAAGACGAAGACACUCCUCAUGCAAAAAUCGCAUCUGAUAUCAUGAGUUGCAUUUUACAGAAUUACAACCGACCCCCAGUGAUGGCAUUAGCCAUCCCCAUUGCAGUGAAAUUCCUCCACAGAGGCAACAAGGAACUGUGCAGGAAUAUGUCUAACUACCUGUCUCUGGCUGCAAUUACCAAGGCAGAUCUCCUGGCUGAUCACACGGAAGUUAUAGUAAAGAGCAUACUCCAAGUUUGAAGAACUGCAUUUCCAUGCUUCUGGUCACCUGUUCAACUACCAACUGUGGAGAUCUUAUCUCUGUGUACUGAGUGGAACACGUCACUCAGUGGGGUAUGAAAAACCUGUCUUCAUUUGGUUCCAAAAGCAAGAAAUGUCUUUUGUUAGAUAAAAUACAUCAGAAAAUGUGUAAUGACUUCUUAAAUGUGAACAUGAUUUGGAUAACAAGCAUAAAUACUAGCAUAAAAAGCCAAAUAGUACACCUCUAUUAAUUGUUACAACAUUUGAAUGAAUGAGAAGCUCAAAUUAGUUCAUGCAAAA
rnacentral:sRNA from 1 species